ACAGAUGCAGACCUGAUGUACUUGAGGCUGAAUCUGUGCUCCUAUCAGCAUGAAGCAGUUAUUUAUCAUGGUGAGACAAGGGGAGGCUGCAUGGGGCUGUUGCCAUAAGGGUACCAGGGCUGAUGUUUGGGUGCCAUCAGUGCCCAAAGUGUUCUUGCAAAAUCUUCACUGCACUGGAGCCAGAAGAAGAGAGUAAGUAAUCUUAAUUGUCUCUAUCUGCUCUAGCAUAAAAGAAAUCAGGUGGUGCUGGAUACAAACAGAAAUACAAACCUGUAUUUCUUCCAACUUUGGAAACAGAGGCAUCAGACUUACUGGCUUUUUGCUCAACUUUGCCCCUGCAUGCACCUCUUGCUGCAUGAUGCAGUUGCCAAAAUGAUUUGCUCCCUUCCUUUGAAGUUCUGCAGUAAACAUUUUGUCCUCUUACAGUGUUUUCCUCUGCUUUCUUUCUUCUGCAAGGUUCUGGUGCUGGCAGAGUGAGAGGAUUAAAGCACAUCAUCAUUUUCAUUUUACUCUCUGAAUCACGUCAGUGAGAAACCAUCUAUUGCUGGAUCUAAAACUCACUCUGCCUCACUCUGCCCCUGCCCUGGAAACCUUACAGGAACAGGAAUGAAUGAUGGCACAGCCUGAAUACCCAGCUUUCCUCUUUGAUUAGCUGGAAGCAGAAGAGUCCAGUGUUCUCAGAGGCAGGACAGGGGAGGAUGGAGGUCCCUGUGUCCUGCCAGCUCAGAGCAGACUUUGUUGCCUUGCUCGUGCUCAGAAGCAUAGCUUGGAUCAAUCUGUGCCCCUCACUGCUGGAAUGGAGCCAAGUGCUGCAGCUGCCCUGCGUCCUGCAGCUCACAGACAACUCAUCCACAUGCUUUGUGCACCACCAGACAUGUUCUGCAUGAGUCUGAGCAACCUGUUUCAGCCUGUUCUCCCUCCUACCUGCGACCAAGCCAAGCUCUUGCAUCCAGAGAGCUGAAGAUCUGUUGGAAAGCUGAGCAUUAGUUGGAAAUUGGACAACAGAUGAUGCUCUCAAUGCUGUGCCCUCAUCACUUGUGCCACUGCUGAGCUGAGCUUCCUGAGGAACAGUACUCACCAAGGCUGGCUGGAGCCAUGUCCUUCAUAUGAUAGAGCCAGGAACAACGCUUGGAGACAUCCUCAGCUUUGCAAAGCAACCCUAUGUCCUCUGGGCAAGAGGGAUGGGAAUGCAGCUCCAGGGCUCCUACUCAGCAAUCCCUGUUGGUACCCAACAGGACUGGUGCUGCAGCCACAAACCACUCUGUUUGCAGCAGUGCUUAUGUUGCUUCAAGUCCCAGGAAAGCUCCAGCACUUGGCUGAGCCCCAGGGACAAGGUCUCUAUGGGAGCAUGGAACCCUCACUGCUCCUUGAUAAAGUCAGCACUGAGUGGGCUUCCCUCUGAUGCCGCUGGGAAAGAAAGGGAAAACAAAACAAAGCAAUGUUGAACUCAGCAGAUGGAGGGAGCUGAGCUUUCUGACUGUUUCUAUGGAGCCCCUCCCAGCACUGGCUUGAUGUGGGUCUGAGCUCCAUCCCUUCCCAGAGGGGUGCCUCUUCCCAUCCCCCUGUAGGACCCACUGUUCUGAUAACAGGUUGGUGCCACGCCACCAGGCAGCCUGCUUAUCUGGGUACCCAGCAAACGAUUUGGAAGAAAAAUCCAUUUUUGACUCAACCAAAUAAAACAUUUUUCAUUUGUUC